CGCCAGACUCCUACGGGAGGCAGCAGUGGGGAAUAUUGCACAAUGGGGGAAACCCUGAUGCAGCGACGCCGCGUGAGUGAAGAAGUAUUUCGGUAUGUAAAGCCCUAUCGGCAGGGAAGAAGCAAGACGGUACCUGACUAAGAAGCCCCGGCUAACUACGUGCCAGCAGCCGCGGUAAUACGUAGGGGGCGAGCGUUAUCCGGAUUCACUGGGUGUAAAGGGAGCGUAGACGGCCAUGCAAGCCAGGGGUGAAAGCCCGGGGCCCAACCCCGGGACUGCCCUUGGAACUGUGCGGCUAGAGUGCGGGAGGGGCAGGCGGAAUUCCUGGUGUAGCGGUGAAAUGCGUAGAUAUCAGGAGGAACACCGGCGGCGAAGGCGGCCUGCUGGGCUUUUACUGACGCUGAGGCUCGAAAGUGUGGGGAGCAAACAGGAUUAGAUACCCCCGUA
rnacentral:rRNA from 1 species